ACACAGAUAAACAGAACAUUUUAUUUAGUUUACCAGGACAUGGGUCAGGUUUUCCAGCUGAUGAAGAGAUAAACACAGCAGAUGUGGAAGUAAAGUAGUCAGAAAUCAACCUAUACCUCCUGAAAGUCCAGCAUCAACCAACCACUUAAAAAAUGGGAUCCGAGUUUCUAACAGCUUUUUGUUUUUGUUUAAACUCUGGAGAACAAAAAUGUGGACUCUGUCACCAGCAGACUGAUUAACACGUCGCAGCGACGUUUGUCGCAAUUUAUUGGACUUAUCUCUACCAGCAGAACUUCCUCUGACCCGAUUGUAGUAAGAAUUUCACAGAUAUCAAACGCAAGUGCCAGAACUCCAGACAGAAGCGGAUAUAAAAGCUCUGAUUGAUUGAAGAAGCAGCAUUUAGCUGCAACUAGAAACUUUAACAUGUUAACUUUGAUUAAUUAAUUACAUAGAUAUUAAGUUGUUAAACAUUUCAACGCAAUGAAUCGCAAUUUCUUUUUUCCACCCAAACAUCUCGAGCCGGAACCUUUGUAUCGUGUUUCUGCUACGGCCGUAAAUCUGACGCACAAGUAGCGUCCGCAAACAACAUCGGGGUAGACGACAAAGCCGCUUCUCUUGAUUCACUGGGGAUUAAUUUUUGCUUUAAGAAACGAUCUGAUGUGACGCUGGGAACAGGUUUGUGAUGAUCCAGGACGACAGAGCAGGCUAAGGUGACAGCAACACAGAUGAAAUCUCACUCAGAAGGACAAAACAGAAGCCAACAUGCUGGGAUCAAAUCCUAAAAAGAACAACACCUGAAACACCGGGACACUCAAGGACACGCCGUGAUGUCAUCUGCCGUGUGGGCGGUGCAGGUGUUGUCAUAGCAACAGGGUGACCUUUCCUCACAUUGGACAAAUUAACACAAUGAGGACAUGCAGCUCAUCAGAUAUGCUGAUUAACAGCAGGGGGUUGAUUAGCAACAUGCGCAGGAAGCAGCUGUCAUUAAGCAGUGUAAGUGAGCUUGUUGCAUCGCCAGCUGCAGGAGACGCUCCAGUUCGACUCCACCAACGUGGCGGUGAGGGUCAGUCGGAACUGCUGAGUUUGACCUUGAAGCCAGAAGCAUCCAGGUGAAACAGCAGCAGGAGAACGACCGCCUCUGGAAAAGCACAGAGGAAGUCUGCAAACCAACGCAUCUCAAAGUCUCAUUCACAACAUUCACAGGAAAUGGAGAAACUUUGGGAUUGAGGAUCACAAGAAAGACUGAAUUAUAUAGCAGUCUACCUUUGCAACUAACUAUUAUGUUAGUAAUUGAAUAUUUAUUAUUUGGAUGAUUAACUGAUAAAUUUACACAUUCUGGUGAAUUUUUUAGGUUUACCACUUGAGCCUCACAAUUUUAACUAAUUCUACCCAAAUGUACUUGA